UUGACCUUUUUCUCAUUUCUCUAGUCUCCUACAAAAUCUCUAUAUAAUGCCAGACGUUGGAGCCAUCCAGACUCAGAACUACCUGGGCCACCAGUAGUAAACCUCAGAGUGUCAUGGUUUCAGGGAUAAAGAUUCAAAGGAUUUUCAAAAGCCAUUUUCAGUGAGUAUUCACUUAUUUCAGAGUAUCUCAGGAUGUCUGAUUAACUGCUAUAAGAGAUCAAGACUCGGAAGGAAGAUUCCUGGGCAUCAGCCCUUCUCUGGAGCAAAGUCUCUUAUACUGGGGGUCAUGGCUGUGGCUACCUUUAUGCUCAAUGCAACUCCCUAGGUUAAGAUGACUAUGUUGCUUUUGGUUGAUAUUAUUUCUACUUUCUUCUGGCUUCUUUUAAAGAAGCUUUAAGCUUUUCUUAAAGAUUGGUAGGCCAGUAGAAGAUAAUUGGACUUGUCACUAAAAAAAAAAAAA